rnacentral:rRNA from 1 species
UACGUAGGGGGCAAGCGUUGUCCGGAUUCAUUGGGCGUAAAGAGCGUGUAGGCGGCCAGGUAGGUCGGUUGUGAAAACUGGAGGCUCAACCUUCAGAGGUCGACCGAAACCACCUGGCUAGAGUCCGGGAGAGGAGAGUGGAAUUCCUGGUGUAGCGGUGAAAUGCGCAGAUAUCAGGAGGAACACCUAUAGCGAAGGCAGCUUGCUGGGACGUUACUGACGCUAAGGCGCGAAAGCGUGGGGAGCGAACAGG